UACGAGGGGGGCGAGCGUUGUUCGGAAUUAUUGGGCGUAAAGGGUGCGUAGGCGGUUCCGCAAGUCCUGUGUGAAAUCUUCGGGCUCAACUCGAAGUCUGCACGGGAAACUGCGGGGCUUGAGUGUGGGAGAGGUGAGUGGAAUUCCCGGUGUAGCGGUGAAAUGCGUAGAGAUCGGGAGGAACACCAGUGGCGAAGGCGGCUACCUGGACCAGCACUGACACUGAAGCACGAAAGCGUGGGGAGCAAACAGG
rnacentral:rRNA from 1 species